rnacentral:rRNA from 1 species
ACGCUGGCGGCAGGCCUAACACAUGCAAGUCGAGCGGUAGAGAGAAGCUUGCUUCUCUUGAGAGCGGCGGACGGGUGAGUAAUGCCUAGGAAUCUGCCUGGUAGUGGGGGAUAACGUCCGGAAACGGACGCUAAUACCGCAUACGUCCUACGGGAGAAAGCAGGGGACCUUCGGGCCUUGCGCUAUCAGAUGAGCCUAGGUCGGAUUAGCUAGUUGGUGGGGUAAUGGCUCACCAAGGCGACGAUCCGUAACUGGUCUGAGAGGAUGAUCAGUCACACUGGAACUGAGACACGGUCCAGACUCCUACGGGAGGCAGCAGUGGGGAAUAUUGGACAAUGGGCGAAAGCCUGAUCCAGCCAUGCCGCGUGUGUGAAGAAGGUCUUCGGAUUGUAAAGCACUUUAAGUUGGGAGGAAGGGCAGUUACCUAAUACGUGAUUGUUUUGACGUUACCGACAGAAUAAGCACCGGCUAACUCUGUGCCAGCAGCCGCGGUAAUACAGAGGGUGCAAGCGUUAAUCGGAAUUACUGGGCGUAAAGCGCGCGUAGGUGGUUCGUUAAGUUGGAUGUGAAAUCCCCGGGCUCAACCUGGGAACUGCAUUCAAAACUGACGAGCUAGAGUAUGGUAGAGGGUGGUGGAAUUUCCUGUGUAGCGGUGAAAUGCGUAGAUAUAGGAAGGAACACCAGUGGCGAAGGCGACCACCUGGACUGAUACUGACACUGAGGUGCGAAAGCGUGGGGAGCAAACAGGAUUAGAUACCC